CUUCAUUUCAUUUCUAUUUAUUGAUCCUCUUUUUUACUAGAAAGCUACUAGCCUGGCUUGAUUAAAUUUAAUUCAUUUCAAUGGACUUCUCAUAUCAUUUUGUGUGCAGGAAGUUGCUUGCGUGCACAAUAAUCAAAUGAAAACAAUUAGUUUGUACUCAUUUCGUGAACUUAGCUCUGCCAUCUUUGCAUUUGGAGGAUUUCAUUUGCCUUCUUUCCCAUGUAAAUUCUAAACUUUGCUCACUACUCUUUCUUUUCAGCAAAAAUCUGGAAUAAUGGAGAAGAAGAAUAAGAUAGUAGAAGAGUGACAGAUUGCUGCAACCACUUAGCUCACGAGAUGACCAUCUAUCUGCACUUGUCUUUCCCUUUGUCCUGCUAAUUUAGUAUCAGGUACUGAAAAUUCUCGUAUUUGGUUGAGAUCUAAACUAGGCAUAAGGUAGUGGAAAUGGAUCCUACGAACAACCAAGACGAGUUAAUGCACGACCUCAUUCGUGAUAGUACUGCGUAUGUAGCUCCAGAGUUUGAUGAGGACGAGAACGAUGGCAGCCAAUUUUUAAACUUGCAUUAUCAUGGCGACGAGGACCAAGAUAUUAGUGGGGAGGAAGAAGAAAAUGUCGAGGAAGCCGAGGUAUAAAAGUUUAGUGAUUCUUUCAGGCAUCAGGAUAAACGUUUUCUCAAUAUAUAUGUUAGGAGCAAGAUAUUGUUUGUGACA